AUUUCUCCAGUCAGCAGAGCCUCUCUUAAGCCUCUUCUGACAGCCUGAUCGCUGUCAUCCCUGCAGCCAAGUCAUGCAGGAAGCAAAGGAGAUGACAAGGACCACUUCAGCACUUGGAGAACUGAACCUGUGAGAACAGAUCACAUGGGCCCCUGCCAUCUAAAUCCCAACUCUAAGGGCUUUUCAAAUGAAAAGGAAGGAAACUUGCAGCGAAGCAAUCGAGGAAGCAGAAGAGAUGACCAGGACCACUUCAGGAUUACUUCCUCCAAAGGCAGCUUGGAGCUGGACUCACAAUAAAAGUCCUAUACACCCCCAA